rnacentral:rRNA from 1 species
AUGGCGCCGCCGCCAUCGUCCAAGCUCGCCCUCCUGCUCCUUGCCAUGGCACUGACGGUCUCCACAGUUCGCGGUUGCGGAUACAACUGCCCGUCCCCAUCUCCGCCGCCGCCGCCGCCAACACCGUCGUGCCCGGGAUACAACUGCCCGUCCCCGUCUCCGCCGCCGCCGCCCUCACCGCCGCCGUCGCCACCACCACCAUCAACCAGCUCUGGCUCGUGCCCGAAUCUGCAAGUGUGCGUCAAUGUGCUGAACCUGCCGAUUCUCAGUCUCGGCUUGUUUGCGAAUGAGUGCUGCCCGCUGCUCUACGGGUUGGCCGACCUGCAAGCUGCCGCGUGCCUCUGCGACGUCCUCGGCGGGGUCCUCGGCCUCCGCCUCGACGUCAUACUCCUCCUCAACCAGUGCAACAUUCGCUGCGAAUCCACCUACACCUGCCCGCGCUGA